rnacentral:rRNA from 1 species
AUUGAACGCUGGCGGCAGGCCUAACACAUGCAAGUCGAACGAGUGGCGGACGGGUUAGUAAUGUAUGGGAAAGUGCGUGAUGGAGAGGGACAACUACUGGAAACGGUACCUACUACCGCAUACCAUCGGAUGUGCCCAGAUGGGUUUAGCUAGUAGGUGGGGUAAAGGCAUACCUAGGCGACGAUCCCUAGCUGGUCUGAGAGGAUGACCAGCCACACUGGAACUGAGACACGGUCCAGACUCCUACGGGAGGCAGCAGUGGGGAAUAUUGCACAAUGGGCGAAAGCCUGAUGCAGCCAUGCCGCGUGUAUGAAGAAGGCCUUCGGGUUGUAAAGUACUUUCAGCGGGGAGGCGUUACCCGCAGAAGAAGCACCGGCUAACUCCGUGCCAGCCGCCGCGGUAAUAC